AAAGAAGAUUUUACCGAUGUAUCCUUUGGAUUACAGGAAGGUAGAUUUUGUUUUCUUCUUUAUACGUUUCCUGUAUGCUCAAGUUUCUAUCAUGAGGUAGAACAAGGAAGCUAUUAUUUGCAGAAGGUGGUUGCGGGGUAGCGGUAACAACAGCAAAGAGAAUUAUAAAAUUGGUCUUGGGGGAAAAAAAAACUCUAAAUGAAGAUUGGCUUAUACAUAACAUCCUGGGGAGGCCAAGCCCACCCACCUCAGUGGGCAGCAGCUGUGCCCCUGAAGCAGACUUUAUCACCCCAUUUUGCACAUGUGAAAAGCAAGACUUAGGUCGAUGCUACAGGGUUCCCGUCGCGACACAUCUGGUACACGCGACCCAGCAGAAACAUUGCUCUUCUCUCGCCUCCUGGGGGAGGGGAACAGACCAAACCUAGGGACCAGCAUUUCUCCUACCCUGCAAAAUGAGUGGAGCCUCUACCAUGCACAUCAAAACGUUCUCAAGGGGCUCAAUUUUGUUUUUGCCACGUAUGAUCAUAAAAGCAGUUGGGGUGUGGGUUUUCUCCUUCUCACCUUCCCUAUUGUCAGACACCCUCGAUCCCACCUCCCCACUCCCCCACCAACCGACUCUUCUGCUCUCCACUUGCUGGGAUGCAGAGAGAGGGUCAGCAUAGUCUGGGAGGGAGGAGGUCACAUGGUCUGGUUGAUAUUUACAGCAUUACGACAUCACUCCCUAAAGCUGUGUUUCCUGGAAGGAUGCGGAAUUCGCCUGGCAGCCCCAUUAUGGGCAGCGUCCCAGUGCCCCUUGGGCAGGACCACUGGACACCACAUUCUGCACACCCUACUAGCAUCCUUUGUUCUGGAGAAUGUAGCUCAUUUGGUCUUGGCCAGGACCUCUCGAACUGCUCUUGGAAGGGAGGAAGUGACUUAGUCGCCGAUGAUUUCUGAAAUAAUGGCAUGAAGAGGAAGUUGGCUGCUGACACAUAGUUUGUAUCACCUGAGCAAGGAUGAAAGCUUGGAAAACAAAAUCAAGCACACUUCCAGGAAAUGGUAAGCUUCCUUAAUCUCCCCACCUCUUAAAAGAAUCUGUUGAUAUCAUACCACCGCUGUAAGUGCCCCUCAUCCUUUCUGUGCAAGGAAAUUUGUCGGGGACUGAGUUGGUACACAUGUGGUUAACAUUUCUCCAAAUAAAGAAUGCACUUAUGUAACAAUAAUAAUGUGGCCUUUAUGUAAAAUGCUAUAUAAUUACCUCCUAAUUUAAUAUUGACUUUCCCCCGGGAAAUCUAAAUUAUUGAAGAUUUACCAUAAGCUGAAAAUUAUGGAUUCCCGAGGAAGGCGAUUGUUGCUAGAAAGACGGUAAUUUAGUCUUUUGGCGGUUGGAGUGAGCGGGACUCUCUCUGCGUGGUUGAGUUUUCAUGGAGUGGCAGGUUAAACCAAGCCCUUGGGCUCUUUGAUGCUGGGUGGAGAGGCCUGAGGGAAAAGAUAGCUCUGGCUUUGUUCUCAAGGCUUCACAUUUGCUACAAGAUGCGCUCUUAUUAACAAAGGGUUGUGCGCACUUCAGUUUUAUUAUUUAAAGUUUAUAAAAGCCUUCCCCCCAAAAAAAUAAUAAUGAGGGCAGAAUUUGUACUGGGAGGGCUUCACCAUCUCAUAAAACUGACACUAACCCUUUUUCCCCAACCAUGCGGGGGCAGGAGUGGGGGUGUUCAAAGAGCAAGAGGAAACUCCCAUUCCCCCAGCUAGAUGUAUCUUACUUAAAAGUAGGUUCCACUUGCCAUGAUUUAGGGGCUCAGAGAGCAGGCUGAAUUCCUAGCCUCUGGACACAGACAGGCGCAGUGAGCGGGCAAGUGUGUGUGCAUGCGUGCAUGUGUGUUUGCCUAAAAUACAUUGAAAACACACUUACCCUCCCUUAUUUCCAAAUACUGAAAAGCAUGCUUUCCUUGGCUGGCAAGAGAGAUAGAGAGAAUGAAGGCUCAGCAGUUUUUAUGAAUAGCAGUGCUGAAAUAUUAAGACAAAAGAAUUCAGGUGUUUCCCCACUCUAGCCUCUCUUCCCAAGGGAUUCCGUGGGUUAAUAAAUUAAUCAAAACCAAGUGUGGACUGAAGUUGAAACCAUGGAUGGCCUGUAUCUCCUUGGAUCCAGCUGUUCAUACCAACGUCAAAACAGUAAAAGCAUCCCAAAGUGAUCUUGGGCUGAAAUGGAACUUGGGUCCAUUAUUUUUAAACAAGUGAAGGAACUGAAUUGCAACGUUGGGACAGGCUAGGACAAUAGUUAUUAAGUCCCGAUGUGGGCAAAUGUUGCUGGCCACAAGAGAUAAUAAUGAAUGGGACAGUGGCUCAGAUUCCUGUCUUCCAGAUCCCUUCUCUCUCUGCCAUUUCCAUGUACCUACACGUGUUACCCUCAUCCCUCCACCCCACAUGUUGCUCCUCCACCCCCAGACCCAGUGACAAGCCACAGGACAUCUAUUAGCAGGCAUUAAAAUAAAAAGCAUCCCUUGGAAUUUCUCCUUGAGUUGGGGCCAGUCCAGCAUCCUCGGGAAGCCAGAAUCUGCCAAG